AGUGAACGCUGGCGGCGUGCCUAAUACAUGCAAGUCGAACGGAGUGGCGCACGGGUGAGUAAUAUAUAGCUAAUCUGCCCCUUGCUGGAGGACAACAGUUAGAAAUGACUGCUAAUACUCCAUAGCAAGGGAUGAGCCUAUAUCGUAUAAGCUAGGCGGGGGGGUAACGGCCUACCGAGGCUAUAACGCGUACCUGGUCUGAGAGGAUGAUCAGUCACAUUGGAACUGAGACACGGUCCAAACUCCUACGGGAGGCAGCAGUAGGGAAUAUUGUGCAAUGGGGGAAACCCUGACGCAGCAACGCCGCGUGGAGGAUGACACUUUUCGGAGCGUAAACUCCUUUUGUUAGGGAAGCGUUAGUAACUGAACGUCCCCUGACGGUAUCUAACCAGAAAGCCACGGCUAACUACGUGCCAGCAGCCGCGGUAAUUC
rnacentral:rRNA from 1 species